ensembl:snRNA U6 U6 spliceosomal RNA
GUGCUCGCUUCGGCAGCACAUAUACUAAAAAAAAAAUUGGAACGAUGCAGAGAAGAUUAGCAUGGCCCCUGCGCAAGGAUGACACACAAGUUCGUGAAGCGUUCCAUAAAAAA